GUUUCGCUGGUUUCUAGUGGGCUCUAGAAGGUUCUGGUUUCGCUGGUUUCUAAUGGGCUCUAUAAGGUUCUGGUUUCGCUGGUUUCUAGUGGGCUCUAGAAGGUUCUGGUUUCGCUGGUUUCUAGUGGGCUCUAGAAGGUUCUGGUUUUGCUGGUUUCUAAUGGGCUCUAUGAGGUUCUGGUUUCACUGGUUUCUAGUGGGCUCUAGAAGGUUCUGGUUUUGCUGGUUUCUAGUGGGCUCUAGAAGGUUCUGGUUUCUAGUGGGCUCUAGAAGGUUCUGGUUUCGCUGGUUUCUAGUGGGCUCUAGAAGGUUCUGGUUUUGCUGGUUUCUAGUGGGCUCUAGAAGGUUCUGGUUUCGCUGGUUUCUAGUGGGCUCUAGAAGGUUCUGGUUUUGCUGGUUUCUAGUGGGCUCUAGAAGGUUCUGGUUUC
ensembl:lncRNA